AUUGAACGCUGGCGGCAGGCCUAACACAUGCAAGUCGAACGGUAGCAGGAAGAAGCUUGCUUCUUUGCUGACGAGUGGCGGACGGGUGAGUAAUGUCUGGGAAACUGCCUGAUGGAGGGGGAUAACUACUGGAAACGGUAGCUAAUACCGCAUAACGUCGCAAGACCAAAGAGGGGGACCUUCGGGCCUCUUGCCAUCAGAUGUGCCCAGAUGGGAUUAGCUAGUAGGUGGGGUAACGGCUCACCUAGGCGACGAUCCCUAGCUGGUCUGAGAGGAUGACCAGCCACACUGGAACUGAGACACGGUGCAGACUCCUACGGGAGGCAGCAGUGGGGAAUAUUGCGCAAUGGGCGCAAGCCUGAUGCAGCCAUGCCGCGUGUGUGAAGAAGGCCUUCGGGUUGUAAAGCACUUUCAGCGGGGAGGAAGGGGGAAUGGUUAAUAACCAUUGCCAUUGACGUUACCCGCAGAAGAAGCACCGGCCAACUACGUGCCAGCCGCCGCGGUAA
rnacentral:rRNA from 1 species